rnacentral:lncRNA from 1 species
AUGUAUAUUUUUCAACUUUAGAAUGCUUUUUUCAGAAAAUGAAAUAUCAAUUCUAACCUUUCAAUGAUGAAGUUGGAAUUUUCUUUCCAUGUAAACGAAGAGAUUUUAGAUGAAAUAAAUAGUUUUAAGGAAAUUUACACUGUUUAUUUUUGACACAGAACUUUGUAUUUAUUCAUAUUACUUCUAUAUACUAUGAAGAGAUAAAGUAAAAAAAAAUUCAAUUUUAUUCGAUGUACAGAGGACAAUCGAGUGUAAAGAAACGAAUCUAUCUAUGACGCAUAGAUGGCGACAGUACGAUGUUAAUAAGUAUAUCGCCAUUUCACACAUGCUUAACCUCUUUAAUUAUACAUUUCGUUCUCUCGAAAUCCGCAUCGUGUCGAUCAACAGAUAAUUUUCUCUUCUACUCGCUUAGAAUCUAAGAUUUAUAACGAAAUAAUCGUUCAAUUGCCGGAUCAUUCGACGGACAAAUGAGUCGGUUUAUCGGCCUUUAGAAUUCAGUCCAAUCGUGAGAUACGUGCUCCCGUGGGGCAUAAAUCGCAUAAGUCUUUCUAGUCGAUAGAAACCGUACUCGCAUAUCUAUAUUCGCGUUAUUCGGUACACGUAAUCGGUUUGUACUUCGAGUACCUAUUUUCUUGGAAGAAAGCAUUAGAAACAUUAUGCUUUCAAGAUACGAGAGUUGGCAAGAGUGAAAGUUCAUACACAUGAAGUUACGUCAAAAGCGAGAUACCGAAAAACUUGUGCAUAAAAACUUGACGCGUGUUAACAUUCAUGUGGCCAAUAGAGCAUUAUGCAAUGAGUCAUACGUUAUGUGCUGACAAGUACGAGCAAAUAUCUUUUCAACGAAAUUUCAUUUUGUGUGUAAUAGUUACAGUAAUAGUGAAAUUAUGUGUGAAUUAAUUGUAGGAUAUGAAUUGGAAAGUUUCGUUGGAAUUCCAGAAAGUCAAGAGGCAUCGGCGAAACGAUUGUUGGCAUCCGGUUCCACGCCUUUUUCGCGCCGAUUAUCCGGAUCGUUUGGAAUCGUGUUUCUCGCCUCGUGCCUCUUUCAGGUAUUAAUUACGAGUAGAUAACCGAAAAAAAAUAUGGGAUUAUGGAUCAAGGAGGGUAGUUUGCAUACAAUAAGAGUUGCGUAUAUAUGAUAAUCGAAGAGAAAACGCCUUUCAUAAUAUCAGUUUCCUAGUGAAAUAUCUGUGGGAUAUUUUGAUUUGAUGUUGAGGACAUGGAUUUUGAUUUGUUGAUCUUUUCUAACUCUUUUAUAUUUCCUUAGAUUAAAAAGAAGAAAUUUUAUCAAAUUACAUCAUGAAUGUUUAAUAAAGAUUGAUGAAAUAUAAAAUAUUAAAAAAAAUUAAAUUGAAGAUCUUGCACAUUCAGAUGAUUCAAUACAAUUCUAAAUUUAAAUAUAUUAAAAUUUUCAUCAACUUUAUUAAAUUGAUUUAUUCAAUUUUUCAGAAAAUAUCAUUAGAGUUACACCAUCCCAAGAUAAUUUUGAUUAAACUGUCAUAUUCAUAGAAUUUUCAAUCGAGCAAGAUUGAUUCAGUUCCCAAGACAAUUCCACUUCAUCACUAUUUCUCCUUCUAAUUUAAAUUCUAAUAAUUUCACAUUACAGAAAAACAAGAAGAGAUAAGCAAAAAAGAUAGAUUAAGGAAGGAAGCAGGAGAAAGCGAUAUCCUCUUUCUCCAGGAUAAACUGACGUAACUAAUCCCACACGGCGUUUUAUUAUCUUUCAUUAUCGAAGCACAAAUUAUAAUCCACGAAUAGCAUUUGGCGUUUAUGGAGGCAGUACCUAUGAAAACUAACCUAUACUCUUUAUUCCUGGCGCAUGUCGUCGAGACCGUCGUUGGAUCGAACAAUGCGUUCGUCCCACGCCGCGCCAUGGUGCACUACCUCGUUCCACGCUGGAUCU